CUGGAGCCCCGCCGGGAGGGCGCAGCCGCCGGCCGUGUGCGCCUCGGGGCUGCGCGCCCCGCGUCUCGCCGCUCCCGCAGCUACGCUACAGCAGCUCUGAACUCGCAGGUCCGGCUUCUCUCAAACCAUACCGAGGUUUUCAUCUCGCUCUACAUAACCUAUGGGACGUAAAUGCUUUUAAUUUAGGAUAGUGUCAUUUUUGCUUAUUUCACCAUUGAGGGUGCAAAUCCUGAAGCUGCAGAAAAGCAUCCUCACUUCUGCACCAGGACUUCUCUCCAAGAACACCUCCUGUUUCACUCCACAUUGGUGUCAAAUAAACCAGUGUAUGUUGCAUGGA